UACGAGGGGGGCAAGCGUUGUUCGGAAUUACUGGGCGUAAAGCGUGCGCAGGCGGUUGUGCAAGACAGAUGGGAAAUCCCCGGGCUUAACCUGGGAAUUGCAUUUGUGACUGCACGGCUAGAGUGUGUCAGAGGGGGGUAGAAUUCCACGUGUAGCAGUGAAAUGCGUAGAUAUGUGGAGGAAUACCGAUGGCGAAGGCAGCCCCCUGGGAUAACACUGACGCUCAUGCACGAAAGCGUGGGGAGCAAACAGG
rnacentral:rRNA from 1 species